rnacentral:rRNA from 1 species
UACGUAGGGCGCAAGCGUUAUCCGGAAUUAUUGGGCGUAAAGAGCUCGUAGGCGGUUUGUCGCGUCUGCCGUGAAAGUCCGGGGCUCAACUCCGGAUCUGCGGUGGGUACGGGCAGACUAGAGUGAUGUAGGGGAGACUGGAAUUCCUGGUGUAGCGGUGAAAUGCGCAGAUAUCGGGAGGAACACCGGUGGCGAAGGCGGUUCUCUGGGCCUUACCUGACGUCUGAGGAGCGAAAGCAUGGGGAGCGAACAGG